rnacentral:lncRNA from 1 species
GGGGAAGGCAGUACAAGGAAUAGGCAAUAUUGGGACUGGAAGUGGCUUGAAUGUCAGAUGAUUUUGCCACUUUCCCCUGACUCUGGGCUCUACUCCAGUGGCACAUAGAACAUCCCGCUGGCCAUUUGCUCCUUAAACACUUUCUUCAUGGGGACAUAGAAUCAUAUUUUUUUAAGAACCUAGUACAGUCCUUUGUUGUAUGUGCUCAAUAGAUGUCUUUUUUUUUUUUUUUUUUUAGUUUCUUCCUCUGCCCUCUUAGGAGUUGGGUUUUUUGGCCCAGCUGGUGGCCUCCAGAGGCCGAGGCAGAGGAGUUCAAAGCCAGCCUCAGCAAAAGCAAGUUACUAAGCAACUCAGUGCGACCCUGUCUUUAAAUAAAAAAAUACAAAAUAGGGCUGGGGAUGUGACUCAGUGGCCAAGUGACCCUGAGUGCAAUCCCUGGGACCCCCCUCCCCUCCAAAAAAGAGUUGGGUUUUCCAGAAUUCUUUAAUCAUUCCUCUUUUUACUCUGGGUUCUUUUUGAUUGACAUUCAUUUCCAGGCCUCUCCUACCAGCCUCUUACAACCCAGACCACUAUGAUGAGCUGUAGUUGAAAAGGACUCCAAAAGUAGCAAUCUAUCUUCUACCUUUUAAAUAAGUUUCAUUGCAACUUAACAGUUAUUUACUGAGUAUCUGCUAUGUAGCAGCCCUACUAGGAAUGGUUCAAAAAUUCUCCCUCUUUCUGUAUUUUCUUUACCAGCAAAUGGUAUCAUCAUCUACACAGAAGUCUGGGAGACUUCAUUGGCUCAAGAACACUCAAGCCCUCCAAUAUGGAAAAUUAUAUCAAUUUGAUCUCUACAGGUUUUUUUUUUUUUUUUUAAACACUUGUAUCCGCUUGUCUUCUUUUAGACUUUAUCUUCCCCCUGACCAGUAUUCGAAUUUCUAAUCUGAUCACAUUACUCUCCGGAGUCAGACCCUUCAGUGUCUCCCCAUCAUCUUCAGAAUAAAGCUCAGGAUCUUUAAUGUUAUCUUCAAGGCCUUUCAUGAGCUGGUCCUUGCCCAUUUUUAUAAGUAUACUUCUGCUUACGCUGCUAUAGGUUGUGGUCCCUAAUCCAAAGAUCUGAAAUCCAAAAUCCUCCACAAUAUUGAAAUGACACUGUGAUAGGUGGACUCUCAGGGAGAAAGAGAUCUUUACUAGAUGGAGGCACAGAUCUGUGAGCAAGACCAGUCAUGCUUGUCUGUUUAGUUAGAUGAUCAAAACCUCUAGCAUAUGCUUGUACCAGAUCCAUUGGAACAGAAACCUAAUUAAAAUGUCACCAGAUUAAAAGACCUAAACAAUGUGUUCACAACUGAUUUAUGGUUAGACUGCUUAAUCAAGAAGAAAUAUUCUGAACCCCAAAUAUCAGGUGACUGACAUGGAAUAUAAUUUUCACAAAAGCUGACCCAGGAACCUCCACAUUCCUUCCCAGGAAAAUCCUAUAUCUAGUCAGAGAGCUCAACCAUAGGUACAUUGCUCCUCUUCUCUGAGAGGCAAGAGGUGUCUGCACUCUGCCUUUUGAGUGAGUAUGUAUACCUUUGCUUGGCUGUCCUUUGGUAAAUCUUUGCUUGUGCUUGCUUUGCUUUUGAUCCAUCCUGAAAUUCUUUCCAAUGGCAUAAGUGAAAAACUUGACUGGGCUGAGUUGAGAUUCUACUGUCCCCUUGGGAGAACCUUGUCUUAAAUGAGAACACCACAGGUGGAAAAUUGCAUAUCUACCUUCAUGUGAUGUGUCACAGUCAAAAUGCAGGUAUAAAAUUAUUGUACAAAAUUACCUUUAGGCGAUGUGUAUAAG